AGUGAACGCUGGCGGCGUGCCUAAUACAUGCAAGUCGAACGGAGUGGCGCACGGGUGAGUAAUAUAUAGCUAAUCUGCCCCUUGCUGGAGGCCCACAGUUAGAAAUGACUGCUAAUACUCCAUAGCAAGGGAUGAGACUAUAACGUCUCAGCUAGACGGUGGGGUAAUGGCCUACCGAGGCUAUGACGCGUAACUGGUCUGAGAGGAUGAUCAGUCACAUUGGAACUGAGACACGGUCAAAACACCUGCGGGAGGCAGCGGUAGUGAAUAUUGCGCAAUGGGGGAAACCCUGACGCAGCAACGCCGCGUGGAGGAUGACACUUUUCGGAGCAGAAACUCCUUUUGUUAGGGAAGCGGUAACUAACGAAUAAGCACCGGCUAACUCCGUGCCAGCAGCCGCGGUAAUUC
rnacentral:rRNA from 1 species